rnacentral:rRNA from 1 species
GCCAGACUCCUACGGGAGGCAGCAGUGGGGAAUAUUGCACAAUGGGCGCAAGCCUGAUGCAGCCAUGCCGCGUGUAUGAAGAAGGCCUUCGGGUUGUAAAGUACUUUCAGUCGGGAGGAAGGUGGUAAGGUUAAUAACCUUGUUGAUUGACGUUACCCGCAGAAGAAGCACCGGCUAACUCCGUGCCAGCAGCCGCGGUAAUACGGAGGGUGCAAGCGUUAAUCGGAAUUACUGGGCGUAAAGCGCACGCAGGCGGUCUGUCAAGUCGGAUGUGAAAUCCCCGGGCUCAACCGGGGAACUGCAUUCGAAACUGGCAGGCUGGAGUCUUGUAGUGGGGGGUAGAAUUCCAGGUGUAGCGGUGAAAUGCGUAGAGAUCUGGAGGAAUACCGGUGGCGAGGGCGGCCCCCUGGACAAAGACUGACGCUCAGGUGCGAAAGCGUGGGGAGCAAACAGGAUUAGAUACCCUAGUACCA